rnacentral:lncRNA from 1 species
ACACAGUCGAGGUGAGAUGAGUCUAGGAAAAUGAGAAGAGGCAUUAGUCCUUUAGACUGCAGACCCUUAACUGUUUGUUUGUUUAUUUUAAGUCUUUAUAAGGAACUGAUGACUGAACCCAGAAUAAAUGCGGGAACUGGAGCUUAGAUCCGUUGAUGAACAUGCUGUAAAAGGAUUGUCCUCUCAACACUGGAACUCCAUUUCCUGAAGGAACUGAAGAGUGUGAACCUGCUGAUCUGUGAUACACUGGUGCCCUUGCCGGACCACAUAACGAUGGCGCUUCCCAAACCCAAAAUGAGCAUCAAAUGGAUUCUGGAUGAGAGCCUGGAACGAGAACAUGGGCUGUUGAAAUGCACCAGGAGGAAAAACCUGGGAGAAGAGUGCGGAAGAGGACGAUUCCUGGCCUCAACAGAAGGUUAUCUCAGCCCAAAGCAACCGGCAAGAGCACCGUCUAGAGGAAAAAAUGGUUUCAAAGGAGAGGAACUGAGUUGGAGGUUAUGGAAGUGCACAAGGAGACUUGGUAAGAGCAGAGCAGCUAGAAUGUGAUUUGAUUCAUUUUGGACUUGGAAUCUUGAAAGCCUACACAGCCCUGGUGU